AAACAUCGCCUCCUGCAGUAUAUAGGAGGUCCAGCCUGCCCAGUGACCAAGUUAAACGGCCGCGGUACCCUAACCGUGCGAAGGUAGCGCAAUCACUUGUUCUUUAAAUGAGGACUAGUAUGAAUGGCAUCACGAGGGUUACACUGUCUCCCACCUCUAAUCAGUGAAACUGAUCUCCCCGUGAAGAAGCGGGGAUAAAACUAUAAGACGAGAAGACCCCAUGGAGCUUCAAACCCGGCAUCAACCAUUAACAUUAAUACCACAUUAAAUAAAUGGACCUGACUGCUGGUUUUAGGUUGGGGUGACCGCGGAGCAUAACAAAACCUCCAUGAUGAACGACCUCCUCUCUAAUCCGAGAGCCACCACUCAAAGAAUCAAAAAAUUGACAUUUAUUGACCCAAACUAUUUUGAUCAACGAACCAAGUUACCCUGGGGAUAACAGCGCAAUCCAUUUCAAGAGCCCCUAUCGACAAAUGGGUUUACGACCUCGAUGUUGGAUCAGGGUAUCCUAGUGGUGCAGCCGCUACUAAAGGUUCGUUUGUUCAACGAUUAAAACCCUACGUGAUCU
rnacentral:rRNA from 1 species